AUACUUACCUGGCAGGGGAGAUACCAUGAUCACCAAGGUGGUUCACCCACGGCGAGGCUCAGCCAUUGCACUCUCGGUUCGUGCUGACCCGUGCGAAUUCCCCAAAUGUGGGAAUCUCGACUGCAUAAUUUAUGGUAGUGGGGGACUGCGUUCGCGCUCUCCCCUG